rnacentral:rRNA from 1 species
CGAACGCUGGCGGCAGGCCUAAUACAUGCAAGUCGAACGGCUCUUCGGAGCAGUGGCGGACGGGUGAGUAACGCGUGGGAAUGUGCCCUUUGGUACGGAACAACACAGGGAAACUUGUGCUAAUACCGUAUGUGCCCUUCGGGGGAAAGAUUUAUCGCCAUUGGAGCAGCCCGCGUUGGAUUAGGUAGUUGGUGAGGUAAAGGCUCACCAAGCCUACGAUCCAUAGCUGGUCUGAGAGGAUGACCAGCCACACUGGGACUGAGACACGGCCCAGACUCCUACGGGAGGCAGCAGUAGGGAAUCUUGCGCAAUGGGCGAAAGCCUGACGCAGCCAUGCCGCGUGUAUGAUGAAGGUCUUAGGAUUGUAAAAUACUUUCACCGGGGAAGAUAAUGACGGUACCCGGAGAAGAAGCCCCGGCUAACUUCGUGCCAGCAGCCGCCGUAACAC